ensembl:ribozyme RNaseP_nuc Nuclear RNase P
GCGGCUGGCGUAUGAGUGCGAUGUAUGAGGUGGGGCACAGCUCCAGAACCCAAUUCAGACUACUCUCCUCCCAC